UGGUGGAGUGAUUUGUCUGGUUAAUUCCGUUAACGAACGAGACCUCGGCCUGCUAAAUAGUCGGCGUCACUCCUUUCGGGGUGGCGUCCUCCGACUUCUUAGAGGGACCAUCGGUGCUUAGCCGAAGGAAGUUCGAGGCAAUAACA
rnacentral:rRNA from 1 species